rnacentral:lncRNA from 1 species
UGUGAUUGUAUGGUAUAGUGACUAAGCUAGUGUGUAGUAUAUUGAAAGCAUCCAAGGUUAGUAAUGAUUCACUUCCACCAAUCAUAUUUGCAGAAGUGAGAAUAGUGAUUUUAAAUUAUGUGAGUCCCUGCUGUUUUCAAACCUCUUUCAUAAGACUAUCAUGUGUGUUUUGCUUGAGAACAAACAAAAAGGUAAGUCUGGGGGAGUUGAUAU